GUGUCAGCAGCCGCGGUAAUACGUAGGUGGCAAGCGUUGUCCGGAAUCACUGGGCGUAAAGCGCGCGCAGGCGGCCAUUUAAGUCUGGGGUGAAAGCCCGAAGCUCAACUUCGGGACUGCCUUGGAUACUGGGUGGCUUGAGCAUCAGAGAGGCAAGGGGAAUUCCACGUGUAGCGGUGAAAUGCGUAGAGAUGUGGAGGAACACCAGUGGCGAAGGCGCCUUGCUGGCUGAUUGCUGACGCUGAGGCGCGAAAGCGUGGGGAGCAAACAGGAUUAGAUACCCUGGUAGUCCACGCCGUAAACGAUGAGUGCUAGGUGUUGGCGGUUUCAAUACCGUCAGUGCCGAAGUUAACGCAGUAAGCACUCCGCCUGGGGAGUACGGUCGCAAGACUGAA
rnacentral:rRNA from 1 species